UGUUCUGCGGUUGAGAACACCUCGAUGACGUCACACAGGAGGUAGAACAAAACAAGACGUUGUAUUGGUUAUUAUGGUUACAGGUCUUAAUUACAACGUACAUGUGCACGUGUGUGUCGUUUAACAGAGUAAACGUCCUUAUUAAUUGUUUGUAUGCGGAUACAUUAGUCUGAGUGCACUUUGACGUGCUAGCCUAGCCUGCUGGUUAGCUUAGCUUGUUAGCUGCUAACAAAGAGAGGCGGAAGUGAUCGACACAUCAAAGCAGAGAUCCAAUGUCGGGUUGCGGGGGCAGCAGCCUAAGAAGGGAAGCCCAGCCUUUCCUUUCCCCAGCCGCUUCCCGGGGGAUCCCGAGGCGUUCCCAGGCCAGCCAGUUUCUAACAUAAUAGUGAGAGUCCAGUCCAUAGUGGGGCCAGCCGGAGACCAUCCCGAUCGGAGACAGACGUCUGUGAAGAACAUCUUCACCCUGAGCAACAGAAGUGGAGCUUCAGGAUGCGGACGGAGGAGCCACCGCCCUCCCACAUUAAGAAGGAAGAGGAAUACCCACUGAUCCCCCAUUUUAAAGACAAAGAGAAGGACACGCUGACACCCCGAUUUAAAGAGGAAGAGGAGGAUCCACUGAGCCCUCAGAGUAAAGAGAAAGAGAAGGAACAUAGCAUCAGUCAGCAGGGAGAGCAUCUUGAAAGACUGGAGGCGGUUGAUGUCACCAAGAUGCCAGUGACUGGUGUCCCUGUGAAGAGUGAAGAUGAUGAGGUGAAAGGUGAAAGUGAGGAGAGGGGAGGGGGGGAGCCUCCAAGCAGCAGCUCAACACAACACAUGACAACAGAAGCUGAUGGAGACCACUGUGGAGGAUCACAAGCAGACAAGCUCUUAGCUCCACUAUCAGAUAGUGAGGACACAACGUCACACUCUCCUGACACUGAUGAUGAAGACUCUAAAGAUGAUAAGACAUGUCACACUGACAACACUCACUUCACAUCUUCUCUCUGUCACAAAACCUUUAAAUUCCAUAGUCAUCUGAAAAGACACAUGAGAACACACACUGGAGAAAAACCUUUUCCUUGCUCAGAAUGUGGUAGAGAUUUUAGACUAAAACAAAUGCUGAAAGUACACAUGAGAACACACACUGGAGAAAAACAUUUUUCAUGUUCAAUCUGCGGUAAAGAUUUUACUCAAAGGCCCCAUUUCAAAGGACACAUGAAAAUACACACUGGAGAAAAAACUUUUUCCUGCUCGGAAUGUGGUAAAAUUUUUGAAAGAAAUCAAAGUUUGAAAGUACACAUGAGAACACACACUGGUGAAAAACCUUUUUCAUGUUCAAUCUGCAGUAAAGAUUUUAAUCGAAGGAACAAUCUCACAGCGCACAUGAGAAUACACACUUGAGAAAAAACUUUUUCAUGUUCAAUCUGCAGUAAAGAUUUUAAUCGAAGGGACAAUCUCACAGCGCACAUGAGAAUACACACUUGAGAAAAAACUUUUUCAUGUUCAAUAUGCGUUAAAUGUUUUACUCAAAGAUCCCAGUUCAAAACACACAUGAGAAUACACACUGGAGAAAAACCUUUUUCAUGUUCAAUCUGCGGUAAAGAUUUUACUCAAAGAUCCCAUUUCAAAGGACACAUGAGAAUACACACUGGAGAAAAACCUUUUUCCUGCUCAGAAUGUGGUAAAAGCUUUGUUAUAAAUCAUAGAUUAAAAGUACACAUGCUAACACACACUGGAGAAAAACCUUUUAUAUGUUCAGUAUGUGGUAAAAGUUAUAUAGAAAGACGACACUUAAAAUUACACAUGAUAAAGCACUCUGGUGAAAAACCAUACUCUUGUUCAAACUGCAACAAAAGCUUUCAUAAACGACAAGCUUGUACAGUAUACACGAGAAGACACCCAGGAGAGAAAGUGUUGAGUUGCAGUGUGUGUGGUGAAAGAUUGUCUUCUAAGUACCAGUGUAAGAAACACAAGUGUGCUGGUGAGAACAGCAGCAGCAAAUUAAACUGCAGGAUUUGAAAUAAACUGUCCAGACUUUCAUUUUGACUUUCUAACAACAUCAGCACAUAUAACAUGUGUGACAUUGUUGUUUGUCUAACAAUCUGGUUAAUAUGCUUCUACAUUUAUAGAUUAGACACUUCAGAUUAGUGUGUUUAUUACAGUCAAGUACAUGAGUUAAUAUACACAUUUGUGUACUUUGAAAUGAACACAACAAUUUGACUGAAAAGGUGAGAAUAAAUAGUACAUACAAUAUGUUGCACAAAAUAAAUAUUUUAAGUGUAGAUAUUCACAAUUCACUUUAAUACUUAUUCAUAAUAGUGUUUUAUAUGUUUUUUCAAAUAAUCACGUGUUACAUAUUUUGUUUUCUAAUUGUAGAUGAUUCCAUAGAUGAACUCCUUUAUAUGAUGUACAUAUUUGUUUUACAUGUGUUCAUACCUUUGCUUUUGAGUACACAUAAAUCCCUCUUAGUUCAUAUUUACUGCUUCACAUCUGAAACAUCUUCUGGACCACUUCUGGAAGCAUAUCAUUAUUUACUUUAUACAUGAUUUAAACAAUUUUCCCUACUACAAUUUAAAAAUGUGUGACUUUAUUAAUCAUUUGUUGGAUCUUUAUAAUCCAUUCUAUUAACUGUCUUUAUUACUCUCUUGUGUAAUAUGAAUAUUGUUGUGUGAUUGUUUUAUAUGUAUGUCCCCAGACUUUUAUGCAAUAAACAAUGUAUGCUUCCACUAAAGUUGGGUACAAUAAAUGUAGUUAAUAUUUGCGGGUAUGUAUUUUGUUCUAUUUGUUAUCGCAGUCAAUUUUGUAAAUGUUUUCUUUGUAUGUCUUACAUGUAGUUUCCAGCUUACUUCAUCAUGUAGACUAACUCAGCCUGGAGGAUGUGUGUAAUGUUGAGAUGUAUUGGAGAUGACUUGGUUUGUUUGGAUGUUGUCAACCUGUCAAUUGUUCUAUUUAAACUAUUAAUGUUGUCAGAUCUCGUGAGAGAAACAAGCAACCAGCUCUAUUACUUCUUCUUCUUACUGGCAGUUUGCAGCCACGACUUGAAAGGUUCAUACUGUCACCUACCGGACUGUAGAGUAUAGUGUGGGCCAUAGGACAGAAGAAGGAAAUCCUAUUAAGAACCUGUGGAGGGCAGCAAUACACCUAAGAUGUUCUACUAGUCUGCUGGAAAUAGAAAGAAGAACAAGAAGAAGAAAGAGGGGAAAGCAAAAUGGCGUUUGAUGGAGAAAGUCUAAACGUGGGCAUUAUAGUUCUGUAUUUGUAAUCAGUGCAUACAUGUUGUCAAAAUAGGUAGAAACCCCCCCUUAGAGGAUCUAUUUCCCCGCGUAUUUCCCCCCGUUAGGGGUUAGAAGCAAGGCUGGACCGUAGGGCCCCGGGUAUACCUGGUGUAUAAUGAAGACCAGGAAUGUAAUGGCUUAUGUAAACCAUAUCUGUGAUAGUACUCACGAAAUGUGAUGGUGUAUAAAUAAUCAGAUGUGUAAAUCAACAUGUGAAAAGGAUAGGUGACCUUUGACCAACAUUCAGGUAUGGCAGAGUGGAAGGCUACUCUAGACAACCAUCUGCGUUAGUUAAAACCU